CCUACGGGAGGCAGCAGUGAGGAAUAUUGGUCAAUGGUCGGGAGACUGAACCAGCCAAGCCGCGUGAGGGAUGAAGGUACAGAGGAUCGUAAACCUCUUUUGUCAGGGAACAAAGGCGGGGACGUGUGCCCGGAUGAGUGGACCUUAAGAAAAAGCAUCGGCCAACUCCGUGCCAGCAGCCGCGGUAAUACGGAGGAUGCGAGUGGUAUCCGGUUGUAUUGGGUUGAAGGGGUGCGCAGGCGGACUGUUAAGUCAGCGGUCAAAGCCCGGGGCUCAACCCCGGCCCGCCGUUGAAACUGGGAGUCUCGAGUUGGAGAGAAGUAUGCGGAAUGCGCGGUGUAGCGGUGAAAUGCAUAGAUAUCGCGCAGAACUCCGAUUGCGAAGGCAGCAUGCCGGCUCCAAACUGACGCUGAGGCACGAAAGCGUGGGUAUCGAACAGGAUUAGAUACCCCAGUAGUC
rnacentral:rRNA from 1 species